rnacentral:rRNA from 1 species
AUUGAACGCUGGCGGCAGGCCUAACACAUGCGAGUCGGACGAGUGGCGGACGGGUGAGUAAUAUCUGGGAAACUACCGGAUGGAGGGGGAUAACUACUGGAAACGGUAGCUAAUACCGCAUACCAUCGGAUGUGCCCAGAUGUGAUUAGCUAGUAGGUGGGGUAACGGCUCACCUAGGCGACGAUCCCUAGCUGGUCUGAGAGGAUGACCAGCCACACUGGGACUGAGACACGGGCCAGAAUCCUGCGGUAGGCAGAAGUGGAGAAUAUUGCGCAAUGGGCGGAAGCCUGAUGCAGCCAUGCCGCGUGUAUGAAGAAGGCCUUCGGGUUGUAAAGGCCUUUCGGCGAGGAGGCGUUACGCGCAGAAGAAGCACCGGCUAACUCCGUGCCAGCAGCCGCGGUAAUAC